rnacentral:rRNA from 1 species
AGUGAACGCUGGCGGUAGGCCUAACACAUGCAAGUCGAACGGCAGCACAGGAGAGCUUGCUCUCUGGGUGGCGAGUGGCGGACGGGUGAGGAAUACAUCGGAAUCUACUUUUUCGUGGGGGAUAACGUAGGGAAACUUACGCUAAUACCGCAUAUGACCUACGGGGGAAAGCAGGGGAUCUUCGGACCUUGCGCGAUUGAAUGAGCCGAUGUCGGAUUAGCUAGUUUGCGGGGUAAAGGCCCACCAAGGCGACGAUCCGUAGCUGGUCUGAGAGGAUGAUCCGCCACACUGGAACUGAGACACGGUCCAGACUCCUACGGGAGGCAGCAGUGGGGAAUAUUGGACAAUGGGCGCAAGCCUGAUCCAGCCAUACCGCGUGGGUGAAGAAGGCCUUCGGGUUGUAAAGCCCUUUUGUUGGGAAAGAAAUCCAGCUGGUUAAUACCCGGUUGGGAUGACGGUACCCAAAGAAUAAGCACCGGCUAACUUCGUGCCAGCCGCCGCGGUAA